rnacentral:rRNA from 1 species
CAGGAUGAACGCUAGCUACAGGCUUAACACAUGCAAGUCGAGGGGCAGCAUGGUCUUAGCUUGCUAAGGCCGAUGGCAACCGGCGCACGGGUGAGUAACACGUAUCCAACCUGCCGUCUACUCUUGGACAGCCUUCUGAAAGGAAGAUUAAUACAAGAUGGCAUCAUGAGUCCGCAUGUUCACAUGAUUAAAGGUAUUCCGGUAGACGAUGGGGAUGCGUUCCAUUAGAUAGUAGGCGGGGUAACGGCCCACCUAGUCUUCGAUGGAUAGGGGUUCUGAGAGGAAGGUCCCCCACAUUGGAACUGAGACACGGUCCAAACUCCUACGGGAGGCAGCAGUGAGGAAUAUUGGUCAAUGGGCGAGAGCCUGAACCAGCCAAGUAGCGUGAAGGAUGACUGCCCUAUGGGUUGUAAACUUCUUUUAUAAAGGAAUAAAGUCGGGUAUGGAUACCCGUUUGCAUGUACUUUAUGAAUAAGGAUCGGCUAACUCCGUGCCAGCAGCCGCGGUAAUACGGAGGAUCCGAGCGUUAUCCGGAUUUAUUGGGUUUAAAGGGAGCGUAGAUGGAUGUUUAAGUCAGUUGUGAAAGUUUGCGGCUCAACCGUAAAAUUGCAGUUGAUACUGGAUAUCUUGAGUGCAGUUGAGGCAGGCGGAAUUCGUGGUGUAGCGGUGAAAUGCUUAGAUAUCACGAAGAACUCCGAUUGCGAAGGCAGCCUGCUAAGCUGCAACUGACAUUGAGGCUCGAAAGUGUGGGUAUCAAACAGGAUUAGAUACCCUGGUAGUCCACACGGUAAACGAUGAAUACUCGCUGUUUGCGAUAUACUGCAAGCGGCCAAGCGAAAGCGUUAAGUAUUCCACCUGGGGAGUACGCCGGCAACGGUGAAACUCAAAGGAAUUGACGGGGGCCCGCACAAGCGGAGGAACAUGUGGUUUAAUUCGAUGAUACGCGAGGAACCUUACCCGGGCUUAAAUUGCAGAUGAAUUACGGUGAAAGCCGUAAGCCGCAAGGCAUCUGUGAAGGUGCUGCAUGGUUGUCGUCAGCUCGUGCCGUGAGGUGUCGGCUUAAGUGCCAUAACGAGCGCAACCCUUGUUGUCAGUUACUAACAGGUUCCGCUGAGGACUCUGACAAGACUGCCAUCGUAAGAUGUGAGGAAGGUGGGGAUGACGUCAAAUCAGCACGGCCCUUACGUCCGGGGCUACACACGUGUUACAAUGGGGGGUACAGAGGGCCGCUACCACGCGAGUGGAUGCCAAUCCCCAAAACCUCUCUCAGUUCGGACUGGAGUCUGCAACCCGACUCCACGAAGCUGGAUUCGCUAGUAAUCGCGCAUCAGCCACGGCGCGGUGAAUACGUUCCCGGGCCUUGUACACACCGCCCGUCAAGCCAUGGGAGCCGGGGGUACCUGAAGUGCGUAACCGCGAGGAGCGCCCUAGGGUAAAACUGGUG